rnacentral:lncRNA from 1 species
GAGGAGAAUAGAUAAACAAAAAUCUCUCCCCUUGAAGAUUUUCUAGCCUAUAACAUGGAGGCUACAUCGGGGCAGUGGAGGCUCAACAUAAGUUCUCCAAGAUCCCAUUUCCUCUCAUUCUCCUGGUGGGAAUGAGUGGACACACCAGAGAGACCCUCACUUCUACUUCCCUCAAUUAUGUGCAUCUUCAUCGAGCACACAGCGCUGGACAUGUCAGCAGAACUCUGCAAGCAGGGAAAUCACAGAAUAGAAGAAGAAAGAAUUAAAAGACAUCAUUGAAACUUACAGAAGAAGGGCCAUGUGAAGACACAAAGAGAAGAUUGCCAUGUACAAACCAAGGAGACAGGACUCUGAAGAAACCAAAACUGCCAAUGACUUGAUCUUGGGCUUCUAGCCUUCAGAACCAUAAUAAAUAUUUUUGUUUAAGCCAGGAAUAAAAAGACAUAAUUGAUUUUUUUAAAAAGCCAUUUUAAUGUGUAAGUUGUUCUGGUGAUAACAGUUAUGAAUCUUUAGUGAGGAUGGGGGAAGGCUCCUAUGCCUCCUUGUCCUCUUGCAAUCUUAACAAAAAUUGCUGUGAUGUGUUUUAGAUGAUGGUGAAGUGGCUAUGGCCUAAGCCUUACAUUCUCUGCCCAGUGGCCUGGUAUCUAGACAUAUGCCUAUUCUACCGUGGAAAGUCUGGCCCACCCUCACUAAAUCACCGAAGAAAGGCACUACAUUAAGUUCUUAUUCAUUUCUUUCCUAAAAUUUCACAAGUCCUGUAUAAGUGAAAAAAGAAGACUAUUUCUAUUUGGAACUAAAAAUUUUAUUUUCUAAAUGAAACUCAAGUUUCUUAUAUAAUAUAUUGGUUGUUAUGCUUCCUAAUAAUCCCUGUAAAACUCGGUAACUUAUAAAGUUAUAUGGC